rnacentral:lncRNA from 10 species
CCCGGGCCCGGGUGCCGUGGCUGUGGGCGCGGUCCAGGCCUCAGUCUCCCCGUCACUGGAGAUCAGGUGCCGCUCGUGGGGAUGAAGCGAGCUCUGGAGUGUGACCAAGGUGCCCACACAUGCCGUGCUCAGCCUCCAAAGGGGAAGGGGUGCUCCCCCAAAACCUAGGGAUGGGGCAGCCUCGGGAGAUGCUAUCUGCUUUAAGGACGUCGCUUCAUCAUGUCUACCGUGCACCUAACAGUGGCUGCUGGGGAAGGAAGGGAGGUGGGCCUGGCCCGGGAGCUGUGCAGGCCGCAGCUGAGCUAAUGCUUCCUCCACCACAGAUAAGCAACGUUAGGGGGUGGGCCAGGAGCGCCGGGACUACAGGAGGAGUGAAGCCCAGCCCCUCGGACCCCAGGCUCAGGGACCUGCCCUGUCUAUCCCGCUCCAGGCAAAGGGCACCAGGUCCUUCCCGGUCCUGCGAGCAGUGGCGCCCUGAAGACCUCAUUCUGGAGCAAGAGACAACAGCCCUUGAUGGUGGGUGCACUGCAGGGCCAGCCCCAUGCUGGGGGCACAGAGAGGUGACCAAGAGGAGUCCCUUGGCCUAUAAAUCAGGUGGUGCACCUGCACCAUGGUGACCACAGGCCUGCCCGGCCUCCCACCUCUCACAGUGGUGGCUGGGGGAUGCCUCAGGCGACUGGGAUGGAGGGGGGUCUGGCACCUGGCUCCUCCUGGCCUCCUUGCCUUGGGUGCGUCUCGCACAGGACCCUAAGGCCAGCCGGGGGAGGCGACAGUGGGUUCUCUGCUUUCAAGUGGCUGGCAGCAGCAGGGAGGAGUGGAGCCACAGGAAGAGGACGCAGCCCAGGCCCGCCAAGAUGACAGGAGGGCCGCCGCCAGCCUGCCCAGACCUGGGCCACCUGAGCAGCUCAGGACAAGGGGAAGGAGAGAGACAUAGAGCUGAGGAAGCAGAAAGCAGGCUGGAGGCAACUGCUUAGAAACCAAGGCUUUCUUUGUGUCCAAGUCAAACCGCCCGUCUGUCUCUCCCUCCCCAAAGGGGCC